rnacentral:rRNA from 1 species
GCUCAGAUUGAACGCUAGCGGGAUGCCUUACACAUGCAAGUCGAACGGCAGCACGGACUUCGGUCUGGUGGCGAGUGGCGAACGGGUGAGUAAUGUAUCGGAACGUGCCUAGUAGCGGGGGAUAACUACGCGAAAGCGUAGCUAAUACCGCAUACGCCCUACGGGGGAAAGCAGGGGAUCGCAAGACCUUGCACUAUUAGAGCGGCCGAUAUCGGAUUAGCUAGUUGGUGGGGUAACGGCUCACCAAGGCGACGAUCCGUAGCUGGUUUGAGAGGACGACCAGCCACACUGGGACUGAGACACGGCCCAGACUCCUACGGGAGGCAGCAGUGGGGAAUUUUGGACAAUGGGGGAAACCCUGAUCCAGCCAUCCCGCGUGUGCGAUGAAGGCCUUCGGGUUGUAAAGCACUUUUGGCAGGAAAGAAACGUCAUGGGUUAAUACCCCGUGAAACUGACGGUACCUGCAGAAUAAGCACCGGCUAACUACGUGCCAGCAGCCGCGGUAAUACGUAGGGUGCAAGCGUUAAUCGGAAUUACUGGGCGUAAAGCGUGCGCAGGCGGUUCGGAAAGAAAGAUGUGAAAUCCCAGAGCUUAACUUUGGAACUGCAUUUUUAACUACCGAGCUAGAGUGUGUCAGAGGGAGGUGGAAUUCCGCGUGUAGCAGUGAAAUGCGUAGAUAUGCGGAGGAACACCGAUGGCGAAGGCAGCCUCCUGGAUAAC